rnacentral:lncRNA from 1 species
CACAGUCCUAGUCUAACUUCUUAGGUGUCUUGAAUUUAUCAAGCUGAGGAAGAUACCGUUUCAAAUUUCAAAUUCAUCCUUGCAACUUAAGAUGCCAGGCUGCAGCGUCUGGGAGCCUCCUCACCCAAGAGGACAGGGCUCAACGGAUCACAGACGGUUUCGCUUGUUUUCCUGGCUGUACCCAUUACAGAAACAGCACCAGCCCCCGUCGCCCAACACAGUGCUCCUGAGCCACCCCAGCUCCCCGAAGCCCUGCCGGAGCCACGUGACUGAAAUGAAACCAACUUGCCCUUAACUUUGGAAAAUUAGCUGCUCCCCUCCUUGCUGUGCCAUGUCAAAAUUAAAAAGUAAACAGAGGUCCCCCAAUCCCUCUGAUUGCAUUAAUC